UACAGAGGGUGCAAGCGUUAAUCGGAAUUACUGGGCGUAAAGCGUGCGUAGACGGUUAUUUAAGUCAGGUGUGAAAGCCCAGGGCUCAACCUUGGAGUUGCAUUUGAGACUGAAUAGCUAGGGUGCGGAAGAGGGAAGCGGAAUUUCCGGUGUAGCGGUGAAAUGCGUAGAUAUCGGAAGGAACACCAGUGGCGAAAGCGGCUUCCUGGUCCAGCACCGACGUUCAGGCACGAAAGCGUGGGGAGCAAACAGG
rnacentral:rRNA from 1 species